UGGGGGAUAUUGCACAAUGGGCGAAAGCCUGAUGCAGCGACGCCGCGUGGGGGAUGAAGGCUUUCGGGUUGUAAACCUCUUUCGCUAUCGAACAAGGCCCGCUUAGGGUGGGUUGAGGGUAGGUGGAGAAGAAGCGCCGGCUAACUACGUGCCAGCAGCCGCGGUAAUACGUAGGGCGCGAGCGUUGUCCGGAAUUAUUGGGCGUAAAGGGCUUGUAGGCGGCUUGUUGCGCCUGCUGUGAAAACGCGGGGCUUAACUUCGCGCGUGCAGUGGGUACGGGCAGGCUUGAGUGUGGUAGGGGUGACUGGAAUUCCAGGUGUAGCGGCGGAAUGCGCAGAUAUCUGGAGGAACACCGAUGGCGAAGGCAGGUCACUGGGCCAUUACUGACGCUGAGGAGCGAAAGCAUGGGUAGCGAACAGG
rnacentral:rRNA from 1 species